CUCUGAGAGGCGGCGGAGCCUGCGACCACUGAGCCACCCCAGCCGCCGCCGUCGUCCCACCCCCAUGGCGGCCACCAAGGACACUCAUGAGGACCACGAUACCUCCACUGAGAACGCAGAUGAGUCCAACCAUGUCCCAUAGUUUGAGCCAAUAGUUUCUCUUCCUGAGCAAGAAAUUAAAACGCUGGAGGAAGAUGAAGAGGAGCUUUUUAAAAUGCGUGCAAAGCUAUUCCGAUUUGCUUCUGAGAACGAUCUUCCAGAAUGGAAGGAACGAGGCACUGGUGACGUCAAGUUCCUUAAGCACAAGGAGAAAGGGACCAUCCGCUUCCUCAUGAGGAGUGACAAGACCCUGAAGAUCUGCGCCAACCACUACAUCACACCGAUGGUGGAGCUGAAGCCUAAUGACUCAGUGACCGUGCCUGGGUCUGGAACACCCACUCCGACUUCGCUGACGAGUGUCCCAAGCCGGAGCUGUUGGCCAUCUGCUUCCUAAAUGCUGAAAAUGCACAGACAAAACAAAGUUUGAAGAAUGCAGGAAAGAGAUCAAAAAGAGAGGAAAGAAAGCAGGAUCAGGCAAAAACGAUAAUGCCGAAAAAGUAGCUGAAAAGCUGGAAGCUCUUUCAGUGAAGGAGACCAAGGAGGAAGCUGAGGAGAAGCGAUAA